UGUUAUUAAAGAAUUUCGGUUAUCGAUGGGGAUGCGUUCCAUUAGGCAGUUGGUGAGGUAACGGCUCACCAAACCUUCGAUGGAUAGGGGUUCUGAGAGGAAGGUCCCCCACAUUGGAACUGAGACACGGUCCAAACUCCUACGGGAGGCAGCAGUGAGGAGUAUUGGUCAAUGGGCGCAGGCCUGAACCAGCCAAGUAGCGUGAAGGAUGACUGCCCUAUGGGUUGUAAACUUCUUUUAUAUGGGAAUAAAGUUUUCCACGUGUGGAAUUUUGUAUGUACCAUAUGAAUAAGGAUCGGCUAACUCCGUGCCAGCAGCCGCGGUAAUACGGAGGAUCCGAGCGUUAUCCGGAUUUAUUGGGUUUAAAGGGAGCGUAGGUGGACAGUUAAGUCAGUUGUGAAAGUUUGCGGCUCAACCGUAAAAUUGCAGUUGAUACUGGCUGUCUUGAGUACAGUAGAGGUGGGCGGAAUUCGUGGUGUAGCGGUGAAAUGCUUAGAUAUCACGAAGAACUCCGAUUGCGAAGGCAGCUCACUGGACUGCAACUGACACUGAUGCUCGAAAGUGUGGGUAUCAAACAGGAUUAGAUACCCUGGUAGUCCACACAGUAAACGAUGAAUACUCGCUGUUUGCGAUAUACAGUAAGCGGCCAAGCGAAAGCAUUAAGUAUUCCACCUGGGGAGUAC
rnacentral:rRNA from 1 species